UACUUUCUUGAUAUGUGUGUUGUGAAUCAUUUCUCCCAGUCUGUGGCUUGACUUUAUAUCUUAUUAGUGGUGUCUUUUCAAAAAUCAAUUUUUUUUAUUUUUAUGAAAUCCAAUUUGUCAAUUGUUUUCUCCAUGUUUCAUGCAUUUUCCUUCUAAAAUAUUUCUCCCAUCUCUAGUUUGCAAAGAUAUUUGUCUAUAUUUUCUUCUAGAAGUUUUACAAUCUCAGAUUUUGCAUUUAAUGUCUAUGAUUCAUUUUAAUAUACUUUUUGAAUGUGGGGUGAUGUAAGGAUAGAUGUUAAUUUUGUUUCCACAUGAGUAUUUAGUUGACCUUGGACCUUUCUUUGAAGACUUUAUUUCUCCCAUUAUAUUGCCUUCCUUAGCACUUCUGUCAAAAACUCAUUGAUCAAGUACUUGUGGCUCUAUUUCUGGACUCUGUUCUGAUCUGAACUAUAUGGGUGUGCUUUCACCAAAACCAUACUGUCUUUGUUACUGUAGCUUUGUCGCCUGGCCCGCGGGCAUCCUUCUGACCAUAUGGAAGAAGAUAACCCCUGAAUACCUUGUGCCAAAGAAGAUGGAGUGUCCAUCAGUCUGUCACUCCAUGGAAGAGGACCACUCUACUGAUCUGUCUACCCAUCUGAUACCAUCACGGGAGCAAGAAAGAAGUUUCUACUACCUGUGAGACUUCAUACAUUUAGGGAAUUAGAUUCCUCUAAACCAUAGACUCUGAAAGCAGUUCCUGGAAAAAAACUUAGAACAUAUGUGGAAAAACUUUCAAGUCAUGCUGGCAACACUGACAUUCUUGUGGGAAAGCAGAGUGGUAGUUAUGAGUAUGAGUUUUGCAAUCAGAUAGGCCUGAGUAAGAGCCUGUGUUCACUACCUUGUAGAUAUAUGGUACUGAUCAAGUUUCUGUAAGUGUAAGUUUAUUGUUUGUUUGUUUGGUUUUAGACAGAGUCUUGCUCUGUCUCCCAAGCUGGAAUGCAGUAAUGCAAUCUCAGCUCACUGCAACCUCUGCCUCCUGGGUUCAAGUCAUUCUCCUGCCUCAGCCUCCCAAGUAGCUGGGAUUAUAGGUGCAAACCACUACGCCCAGCUAAUUUUUGUAUUUUUAGUAGAAAUGGGAUUUCACCAUGUUGGCCAGGCUGGUCUCAAACUCCUUAUCUCAGGUGAUCCACCUGCCUCGGCCUCCCAAAGUACUGUGAUUAUGGGUGUGACACCGUACCCGGCCUCAGAUUUUUUCCUAAAUGUACAAUAUUGGGAUAUUACUGCAAUAGAAUCUAUUUCAUAAUAUUGCUCAUUGUCACAGUGCCUAGCUGAUACUAAGUGCUCAAGAAAAGUUAGCUUUCAGACUAAGUAUCUUCCCAGAUAACUUUUAAAACUUAAAUUGCCAUAAUCUUAGUGCUGUUCCUGAAGUAUUUCUGGUUUUCCUUCCAGGAAGAGGGCGGGAUUACAUUUUCCUUCCCACCCUUAGAGUUAUAUUUACCUACAUGAUUCAUUUUGACCAAUGAAAUGUGAGUAGAAAUGGCAUGUUUCAUUUGCAGGUAGAAGUGUUAAGAGUCAGCAUGCAUUUCAAAUGCUAUAUUUUUCUCCACCACAGCAGUGGCAAUGUUCCAGCUAGUGGCUGCUCUGUCAGGUUGAGUCCUAAAGUGAGGAAAAACCAGUCAACACAUGAUAUACAUGUGGCAUGGCCAAGAAAUAAAUUCUUGCUGUUUGAAGCAACUAGAGAUUUGGAGUGUAUUUGUUACUAGCCCACCUGACCUAAACAGGAACAAAUACUCAUAUAGGCAAGUUCAUGUGAAAACCAGUUUUGUUAUUUUAUAGCAGCCUCUAAUAAUAAUGGCUGACAAGUGUUGAGCUCUCACGAUAUUCCAAGAACUUCUAUAAGCUUUACAUGUGUUAACUCAUCCACUUUCACAAUAACUCGGUGAGAUAACCUGCAGUAUCUUUAUCCCCACUUCAUAGGGACAGAAAGGUUAAGUAACUUGCCCAAGGCUACAUAACCAGUAUGUGAUAGAAGCAAGUUUCAAGCCAAUGUAUCUGUCUCUUGGACUGUGCUAUUAACCUUCAUUACAUUACCUACCGUAGUGGAUGCUAUAGUGUACCUGGUAGAUCCCAGCUUCAGGACUGAGGCUGAGGCUCUCAUUUCCCUUUUUUUUUUUUUUUUUGAGAUGGAGUUUCACUCUUGGGGAGUGAAGCUCUCAUUUCUUCAGCUAUCAGAAACAUUGGUUGACAGUGGUUCAGAGCUUAGCCCCUCCUUGGGAAUCACCCUCAGGCAAAAAGAGCUGCCUCACCCAAAGUGAGGCCCCUUUCCUGUGGGAUUGAUAGGGAUUCUGUUGCAGCUGCAUCACAGUUCAACUUCUCCCUCUGCCCUGCUUUCCUCACUCAAGUUCUCAAAAGUAUUCCUCAAUAAACUUUCCUCAUGUAAAUCUCAGGGUCUCAGAGUAUGUUUCCAAAGAGCCCAGAACAACAAUACCUCCCUAGAUAUUCCUACAUGUGUACUGAAACAUACACAGACUCUAUAUGAACUCCGUUCGCAAUUAAUUGACAAAUGACGGUCAUAGACCAUGGAGUUGAGAGAAUGUGAAGAUCACUGGGCUGUCUGGAGAAGGUUUGGAAUGAUGAGCCUCUCACAAGUUAAUGGAGAUACAGAAUCUUCUACUUUCUCAGUUGAAUUCAGUGCAGUUCAUUUCUCAUAAAUGUCAUCUGUGGUUGUCUAGAUCCAGAAAAAAGUCAAAGAAAGAAUCACAUAUUUUGUAUAUAACAAAUGAUAGCUGGUCUUUAUUAUGACAUAUAUUCAUUCUUGUAAGUAGAAAUGGGAACUCUCCAUCUCUUUCAUGAAGACAGAUGUCUCCAGAGACUGGAAGCCAUGUAUCUUUAUUUUACCAAAUGUCAUAUAUCUCUGUUUUAGUUAUACAUAAAAAAGCUAUUGAAAACUGAUGUCUUAAAUUGAUUUCUAAGAAACGAUAAGUAGAACCUAAAAUUUAAUUCAUAACCCAUCAGCUCUCUCUUGGACAUCUUAGGUAACUUGACACCUACUUCUAGUAAAAUUUAAAAUCACCCAAGUUCUAGUUCUAAUGCAUUUCUUUUACUGUAAUUGAAUAUUUUUCACAAUUUAAACUAUCCCAAUAUCAGUUGUCUACAUUUUCUCAAAGGAGAAAUAGAUGUUAUAAAAUUUGAAAUAAAUCAGCAGAAUUAUAGAGGCAGUAACAAAAUAUAUCAAAUAUAAAACUAAAGGAAUCUAAAUGGAUCUGUGGAAUUUAAAAUAAACAUUACUAACUACUUUACAUUGAUAUAUGCAUGUCUUAUACAUUGUACAUUCUGCUUACGUAUCUUCACCAUACAUUGAAGUAAAUUAAUGGCCAAUGUUAUACAGAGUUCAGG
ensembl:lncRNA